UACAGAGGUGGCAAGCGUUGUUCGGAAUUACUGGGCGUAAAGGGCGCGUAGGCGGUCCGAUAAGUCCUGUGUGAAAUCCCUCGGCUCAACUGAGGAACUGCACGGGAGACUGUCGGGCUUGAGUUCGGGAGAGGGUAGCAGAAUUCAUGGUGUAGCAGUGAAAUGCGUAGAUAUCAUGAGGAAUACCAGAGGCGAAGGCGGCUACCUGGACAAUUGCUGACGCUCAGGCACGAAAGCGUGGGGAGCAAAAGGG
rnacentral:rRNA from 1 species